rnacentral:rRNA from 1 species
UUUCGCCUACGGGACGCAGCAGUGAGGAAUAUUGGUCAAUGGGCGGGAGCCUGAACCAGCCAAGUCGCGUGAGGGAAGGCGGUCCUAUGGAUUGUAAACCUCUUUAGGCGGGGAGCAAUGCCGGGCACGCGUGCCCGGAGGGGGAGUACCCGCAGAAUAAGCAUCGGCUAACUCCGUGCCAGCAGCCGCGGUAAUACGGAGGAUGCGAGCGUUAUCCGGAUUUAUUGGGUUUAAAGGGUGCGUUGGCGGAUUUUUAAGUCAGCGGUAAAAUGUCCGGGCUCAACCCGGGCCGGCCGUUGAAACUG